UACGGGGGGGGCAAGCGUUGUUCGGAAUUACUGGGCGUAAAGGGCUCGUAGGCGGCCAACUAAGUCGGACGUGAAAUCCCCAGGCUCAACCUGGGAACUGCGUCCGAUACUGGAUGGCUUGAAUCCGGGAGAGGGAUGCAGAAUUCCAGGUGUAGCGGUGAAAUGCGUAGAUAUCAGGAGGAACACCGGUGGCGAAGGCGGGUCUCUGGGCAACAACUGACGCUGAGGAGCGAAAGCGUGGGGAGCGAACAGG
rnacentral:rRNA from 1 species